ensembl:lncRNA
GGUGUCAAAUACUUAGCUUUGUUUGGAGAUCGAGCACAAAUUCCCAUUCUGAAAUCCUUUCUCAAUAUGCAAUCCUUUUGAAUUCAGCGAUAAACAUCCAACUGAUGUCAAUGGAGAUAGGAUCUGCCCCAUUCACUCCAGGGUACUGUAGUGUUUGCUGCUGUUGGCUGCUCCGUUUGUGAUCUGUAUUUCCCAUGGUAUAGAUCUUCCAUCUGAUAUUGUUUAGCAAUAGAAGGCUUUCAAAGACCGGAUUUUGUUCUUCUGGACUAAUAAAAGGAUAUGCAUUAACUAUUAACCCAGAAGCAGUUGAUUUACUCAUGAACUCC